rnacentral:rRNA from 1 species
GACGAACGCUGGCGGCGUGCUUAACACAUGCAAGUCGAACGGAAAGGCCCUGCUUUUGUGGGGUGCUCGAGUGGCGAACGGGUGAGUAACACGUGAGUAACCUGCCCUUGACUUUGGGAUAACUUCAGGAAACUGGGGCUAAUACCGGAUAGGAGCUCCUGCUGCAUGGUGGGGGUUGGAAAGUUUCGGCUGUUGGGGAUGGACUCGCGGCUUAUCAGCUUGUUGGUGGGGUAGUGGCUUACCAAGGCUUUGACGGGUAGCCGGUCUGAGAGGGUGACCGGCCACAUUGGGACUGAGAUACGGCCCAGACUCCUACGGGAGGCAGCAGUGGGGAAUAUUGCACAAUGGGCGGAAGCCUGAUGAAGCAACGCCGCGUGCGGGAUGACGGCCUUCGGGUUGUAAACCGCUUUCGCCUGUGACGAAGCGUGAGUGACGGUAAUGGGUAAAGAAGCACCGGCUAACUACGUG